rnacentral:lncRNA from 1 species
UGAGACGUUGAUGAUGCUCCUAUCACCAUGGUUAUGUGAUUGGGUAUAUCUUGCCCUCGGUCCUAACUGCCACUGUCUGUGCUGAGUUUUUCAAAGUUCAUAGCAGGUUGAACAUGCUUGCUGUCAUUUUCACAGAUUCUGGUCUUUCUUAUGGGGAACCUGAGUUCCUGCAUUAAAGUUCCCCCAGAAGAUCAAUGGAAGGUGGAUUCCAAAGAGUGGGCAAGUGAGGACCCCUUCUCUGUUACCAAGGUGACCCCAAGGAACACAGUAAAUGUGGCGGCUUAUUUGGCCUCCCCAGGACGGACUGGAGCAUCAGUAGUGCCUGAGUUCAUCAAAGGACAGAUGCUCAAGACACCUUGAUCACCAUUAGGUGGAAUUGAAGGAGCCAAAAAUGGGCGCAGUGGCUCCUCAGCAGAGACGCUCCUGAAUGUAUAGACAUGGGAACCACUUUCAGCAUCAAAAAAGGAAACGUUCUGCAUGCCCAUAUCCAGAAAAAUCCCCACUCGCUGUAACUUGCGGUCUACUAAGAGGAAAGUCAGCGGCACCGUGCUGGCAGAGAGGCGGCUUCCAUCCCUCAAACUCACAGUCCAGAAUCCAAGCUCUGUGGUCAGCUGGAUCUUCCCUUUGCAGUGAACAGAUUCUCUGCAGACUCCCAGGUCCCAUUCUGUGCUUGUUCCCACGUCCACCUCCCAGUAGUGGCGGCCACAGGUAAAGCGAGGGGAGCCCAGGAUGCAAACGGACACGUCAAAUCUCUCGGCAAGGUCUUGCCGAUUCUGUGUGAUGAGCCCACUUCGGACGCUCCUGAGGUCGUCAGAAAUGAGGAGGAAGUUGUUGGCUGUGUCGGCAUCCAAGGUCAUAUCCACUGUGAAAAGGAAAACAAGUUGCUCAGCAAGUGGACAGAAGCCAACCCCAUGCCUCUCUUCUACUUCAAAGGCCCAAAUAUCUCCUGACUUUAGUUUCUUUAAUUCUGUUUCUUCCUCCAAAAUCAAAACUUUUCAUGAGGAAACUUCCCUAUUUCAAAUUUUCAUAGGUAUGCUUUGUGGCAAUACGUGACUCUUAUUCACAGUAGCAAUUCUUAUUUUACUUUACGUCACGUGUUUGCUUCACUGAACUUUUCUUCAUUUAGAGUGGAGGGUCUCUGAAGGCAGACACCAUGCCCCCCUUUCUACCACCUUGAUGUGUGAACAAAUAAAUGAUAAUUAAGACAAAAAAAAAAAAAAAAAAAAAAAAAAAAAAA